UCAGAGUUGCUGACACCAUUUCCGGAUACUCACAACACUCAUUUAGCCCCAGAGCAGAUGGAAACCUCAUAGCAUCCUCACAAAGUGAGGAAAAAAAUAAGCCAAAGGAGAAAACUGUUAUGAAAGGCAAUGUAACAACUAUUUACAAUCAUAAGCUCUGGAAUGGAAAAGAUCUGACUUUGAACUGCAACUCCACUGCUGACCAGCCUCAUGAUCUUAAAGAACUUAUAUAACAUCUCUGUGCCUCAGUUUUCCCAUCUAUACAAGGGGGCUAAUAAAGUACCUAUCACACAGGGAUGGCAAAACACAAAAAAUAAUAUAUGCAAAUAAACAUUGCAUUAUACAUAA